UGAGUAGGUGUGUCCAAACUUUUGAGUGGUACUGUAUAUAUGUUGGGCAUUACUUGUAUAUACCUCCCUCUCUCUUGUGCACAAUUGCCAGAAUUCCGGUUGGAUCUCCCCCUUCAAGACAAGACAAUUUUUCACAGCAGAGUAAAAUGUUUUAUUAGCAUUUCAUAAACAUUACUCGGAAACCUACCCUAUACAACUGUAUUAAUUGGUGACGAUGUAGUUUCAAGGGUCUUGAGUCUCRUCAAUUAUCAGCACUCUCUUCCUCCUUUUACUCAACUAAAUACUCAAGCUAUCCUCUUAUCUCAUUGAAACUUGUUUCAUGUGAUCACUGUUUGUCUGCUAUGGUAAACCAGAUUGUGCUCUCCCCCUGACUCUCUUUAUGUCAUAACAGUAGCUUUUCCAUAUCCGUCCAAAUCAUAAGGUCAAAUGGUGUCUUUCACACACACGCACACAUAGUUCACUCAGUCAUGACACUCUUGAGACAGCAAUUAUAUAUUUGUUUUAAUCAGUCUUUUAAAAUCUGUAAUUGUCAUUCCGCUUUUUCAGGUAGCGCCCACGUCCAUACACAUCUGUGCGUUGUUCGUCUUUAUGUUAUCGGAACGGGAGGAAAAUGUUAUUGUAAGAGUUGAAAUGAAUAGCUCUGUCCUGACUAGACUGCAGGACUAAAAGAACGGUACUGAAAGCAGAGGCAGUCUUUCAAAAGGUACUGAAAAUAGGUGACCGUGUGAAUGAAUUGUUUACUUCGACUGUUUGUUGCUUUAACGCUGUUUAUUUUGACGUUUCUAAAAGGUAACGGUCACUGGAGGGACACUAGAUCAGAGAUUAAACAAACAAAUCUCAACUUUUGAAUUUAAUAUAGUUAAAACGUGUCCCGCAGACAGUAUUUUAUGGUGAAUGUUCAUACAGCUUCCCAUGUUGUACAUUUUUAACAUUCCUUUUUUGUUUUAAACCAAGAAAAUUCUACUGAAUCAUGAUUUUUCACUUUGUGCUGUUCUGAGGUAGACUACUUAUCUGACAUUGGAGACCGCUCAUUGAUAUGUGCAGUUCUUCUAUUGAACACAAGAUGGCAACCGCUCCUAUAUUUGUUGAACUUGUAUUCUAACACAAGUAAACUGCUGUAUUUACUGUACAUGAAGUUUCACAGAAAAUUCUUUGACCUAGUCAUAUUUUCCAAGGUUUGAUUCAAAUAUUAGGAUUGUAAAGCAUUAAUUUCCAUUUCUGAACUUUACCGAUAUGAGUUCUAAUGGUUUCCCCGUGGGCUAUGUUAUUCCUCAUUUGCUCACCUCGACAUUCUCUAUUACACAACAGACGUAUUUUCUAAAKCUAGGUUGCGUCCCAAAUGGCACCCAUUUAGGGUUAGGAUUAUACGGAUUUGGUCAAAAGUAAUGCAUUAUGUAGGGAAUCCGCUACCAUUUGGGAYGCAUCCCUAGACUUCUCAUUCUGUCCCACAGAGCUUUAAUAGUUUGUUGAAGUUAGGAUGAAAUCCUUUGGUAAAGCUACGUACCAAGCAACGACGUUAUCACAUGAAUUGGAGGUGUUGCAUGAAUGUUAACUACACAUAAGCCUUAACUGAUUUAUGGAUGAAGUUUGACACCACCUUCCUGGUAGGCUAUAUCKUCGUAUGAUAUAGCAAUGAGUCGGCAUAUCAUUUCACUGUAAAACCCAAUCACGUGUCUUCCUGUUUGGAUAGCCAAUCAUUUCAGAGAGAGGCACCUUUUUUUUAACAGAAGUGCAGGGAGUGUAUCCGUUACAUGCCAUCGUGUAGGUUCUCCAGUUUGAUGCUCUUUCAUGUGCACCACCAUUAUCCCUAGAUUGCACAGUAUAACCGAAUCAUAGUAGCCUAUAGGCUAACAUCACACUACUUACCACAUGCAAUUAAUGUCUCAUUUGAAUGGACAAUUAGUACUGUCAUAUGCUUUUAAUGUAGACGAGUAUGUAUGAAGCCUUAUGAUGGAGGUCAUUUGAGGAAAAAAACUAACUAUUGUUAGGCUGUAUAAAUUCAGCUAUGUAGAGCAGGCUCUGCAAUGAGCAAUUUGUAAGGAUGGUUCUUCUUUUGUCUGUUAAUAUCAUUGUACAUAAUGACUUCAACAAUGUAACUUGUAGCGACUUAAUCUGUUUAAUAAGAGAGUGUAAAUUCACACUACCUGGAGGUGUGUUUAAUAAAGUAUUCGUAAAAUCACA